GCGUGCCGUCGGUGACGGCGCUUCGCGCGCCGUUCACGACGGCGCCGUGCGUGCCGUUCAGGACGGCGCUUCGCGCGCC
rnacentral:tRNA from 1 species